AUGGAAAUGUGUUGGUUUCAGGUUCUUCAGUCUUCCCUGCUGGUGUUGUUAUCCGGAUUAUGGGAAUACUGCUCCUGCUGACACUCUGCUUCUCUGGAAUCUUCAUCUGGAGGAGAAAAUAUAAAGCAGAUAUCCAAGGGAUCCUUAAUUUUUGUAACAUCAGACACACAACUGCUUUGAUUCUGCUUCCAAUCUGUCCAAGAGUCAACAAGAUAUUCAGCAUUUUCCUGUCGGUAAGGAUGAACUUCGUGG
ensembl:lncRNA